UUGGCCCGCCUUAAAUCAGUUGUUACUUAAUAUACACAUGCAAGUAUCAGCACCCCUGGAGAACGCCCUUAAAUCCCAAUUGGGAUAAGGAGCUGGUAUCGGCCUUUUCCCGCCCAAGACACCUAGCCACGCCACACCUCAAGGAAUCAGCAGUGAUAAACAUUGACAAUAAGCGACAGCUUGACCCAGUUAAAGUAAAAAGAGCCGGCUAAUCUGGUGCCAGCCGCCGCGUACACCACGUGGCUCAAAUGAUUUUAUCGGCGUAAAGCGUGAUUAAAGUUCUCUUAAUUUGAGUAAAAACUAAGCGUGACACGCUUGUUAGAACCAAAACGAAAGUACCCAACACUUGAAUCACGACAGCUGAAACAAACUGGGAUUAGAUACCCCACUAUGCUAGCCGUAAACUUUAAUACAUCCAUCGCCGGGAACUACGAGCAAAGCUUAAAACCCAAAGGAC
rnacentral:rRNA from 1 species